rnacentral:rRNA from 1 species
AAUAUUGCACAAUGGGGGAAAACCUGAUGCAGCGACGCCGCGUGAGUGAAGAAGUAUUUCGGUAUGUAAAGCUCUAUCAGCAGGGAAGAUACUGACGGUACCUAACUAAGAAGCCACGGCUAACUACGUGCCAGCAGCCGCGGUAAUACGUAGGGGGCAAGCGUUAUUCGGGUUUACUGGGUGUAAAGGGCGCGUAGGUGGUUCGGUAAGUCAGAUGUGAAAGCCCGGGGCUCAACCCCGGGACUGCAUUUGAAACUAUCGAACUAGAGUGUAGGAGAGGUAAGUGGAAUUCCUAGUGUAGCGGUGAAAUGCGUAGAUAUUAGGAGGAACACCAGUGGCGAAGGCGGCUUACUGGACUAUAACUGACACUGAGGCUCGAAAGCGUGGGGAGCAAACAGG